rnacentral:rRNA from 1 species
UAGGGAAUCUUCGGCAAUGGGGGGAACCCCGACCGAGCAACGCCGCGUGAGUGAAGAAGGCUUUCGGAUCGUAAAGCUCUGUUGUUAAGGAAGAACGAGUGUGAGAAUGGAAAGUUCAUACUGUGACGGUACUUAACCAGAAAGGGACGGCUAACUACGUGCCAGCAGCCGCGGUAAUACGUAGGUCCCGAGCGUUGUCCGGAUUUAUUGGGCGUAAAGCGAGCGCAGGCGGUUAGAUAAGUCUGAAGUUAAAGGCAGUGGCUCAACCAUUGUAGGCUUUGGAAACUGUUUAACUUGAGUGCAGAAGGGGAGAGUGGAAUUCCAUGUGUAGCGGUGAAAUGCGUAGAUAUAUGGAGGAACACCGGUGGCGAAAGCGGCUCUCUGGUCUGUAACUGACGCUGAGGCUCGAAAGCGUGGGGAGCGAACAGGAUUAGAUACCCUGGUAGUCCACGCCGUAAACGAUGAGUGCUAGGUGUUAGGUCCUUUCCGGGACUUAGUGCCGCAGCUAACGCAUUAAGCACUCCGCCUGGGGAGUACGACCGCAAGGUUG